rnacentral:rRNA from 1 species
UACAGAGGUCUCAAGCGUUGUUCGGAUUCAUUGGGCGUAAAGGGUGCGUAGGCGGCGCGGUAAGUCGGGUGUGAAAUCUUGGAGCUUAACUCCGAAACUGCAUUCGAUACUGCCGUGCUUGAGGACUGGAGAGGAGACUGGAAUUUACGGUGUAGCGGUGAAAUGCGUAGAUAUCGUAAGGAAGACCAGUGGCGAAGGCGGGUCUCUGGA